rnacentral:rRNA from 1 species
UACGUAGGGUGCGAGCGUUAAUCGGAAUUACUGGGCGUAAAGGGCGCGUAGGCGGCUUAUCAAGUCAGGCGUGAAAUUCCCGGGCUCAACCUGGGGGCUGCGCUUGAUACUGAUGAGCUUGAAUGCGGGAGAGGAUAGUGGAAUUCCCAGUGUAGAGGUGAAAUUCGUAGAUAUUGGGAAGAACACCAGUGGCGAAGGCGGCUCACUGGCCCGUAACUGACGCUGAGGUGCGAAAGCGUGGGGAGCAAACAGG